rnacentral:misc_RNA from 1 species
AACGCACAUUGCGCCCCUUGGUAUUCCAUGGGGCAUGCCUGUUCGAGCGUCAUUUGUACCUUCAAGCUAUGCUUGGUGUUGGGUGUUUGUCCUCUCCCCUGCGUUUGGACUCGCCUUAAAGUCAUUGGCAGCCUGUAUACUGGUUUUGAGCGCAGCACAUUUUGCGUCUUGCAUCUAGUAAUACUAGCAUCCAUCAAGCCCUUUAUCACUUUUGACCUCGGAUCAGGUAGGGAUACCCGCUGAACUUAA